AGGAGAGGAAAGCAGUAAAUUUUCCUGUAACUGGGGGAUUCCAAAGAGCUCAAUCUCUUUGCUGCUUAGAUGUUCAAAUGACAGCUGGCCCCCUGCCAGUUCCAGUUUUAGGGACUCAGACAGGAGUUCCUCUCCUCCACUUGGUUGUAUACUCCCAUUUUUCUUGGAGAGACUCAGUAUCUUCAAUACUUCUAACACUGUGUCAGAGGUAGCUGAAGCUGGCAAAAUGGUUCACAAGCUACUGAGGGGAAGAGGAAAUCAGACGCAGUCAACAUAGACUUUAUUUCCAUAGGAGGCCACCUGAAAUCAACUCUAUCUUCAAUCCCAGAUGAAGAGUGGUGAUGGCUCCUAAGGCUGAAUAUGAGCUCCUUGAAGAAAAAUGACACUUCCUCUUUCCAGACUAAACACUGUGGUGGUGCUGUCUCUCAGCCAUUUCAAGCUGACUUGAAACCAUGCUGCUCUUGAGAGCCUUUUCUUCCCCCUACGUGCUUCAUCUACACUGGGUCUCUAAAUGUUUCUUUGGUGGGUGAUCUCACUGAGAACUGUACAUGCCAAUCAUCAAACUGUGGAAGUGAGAAUGAGCUGACAAUGGCAUCUUGCUUUGCAAAUUAUUUUGCUUUGUUUAAAAAACGUGUGGGUCAAAGUAUUAUUUUGAAGUUAGCGUCUUAUGGGACUGCUUUUUGCAACUUCGAAAAGAAUAAAGAUCUUCAGUUUGGCUCCAGGAAGAAAACAAUGAGUUGCCUUUUGUGUACUUUCAGAAAGGGGUACAGGCCUAAUUUAUCUUCCUUUGAACACAAUGGAAGAGCCUGUAGAAUUGCUGUACUGAAAGGACAUUGACUUCAGGGGAUGGUGGAUUGUGCCCGAAAUGCUCUGUUGCAUGGGUAUUAAUUUGAGAACAUCUCCACUUUUUCCAGUAACCAUUCUGGUGGUAAAAGUGAGACUGGUAAAGUUGAGUGAGUCUCUGGUAUUCUCAGUCUCACUGAAGAAACCACUGGCUGAUGGCACUGGUGGUGCUUCUGUUCAGGUCCUCACUCCUUUCCAGAGAAAGUAAGUGGCCUCAGAGUGAUUUUUGGUGAAAUGUAUCCAGAAUACAAUCUAAAUCUAGCCCUCUUUCAUUCCUUUAGUAUUGUAUUUUAUCCUCCUGAUAGGUAUUUAGCUUUUAAACAACGCUGUCUGAUGAAGAUCAAAGAAUCUGCUUAGUUUUACUGUGUGUAUGUGUGAUUUGGCUACAUCUCAUUUUUAAAACUCCUCUACUGUACCAUCAUAAUGGUUUUAGCUCAGGACAACCACUGUGCAUUUAUUAAAUGAGAUGAAACCAAUGCUGAAGACAGUACAGAGUUGUGUGACCUUUCAGAUAUUGUUUGUCCAGACAGUUCGUGUCAUCCCGUGACAUCUUCCACCUGAUUUUCUGUCUGUAUGUCAUGCAUCGUCUGGGAUAGAGUUAAUUGUCAUUGUAGAGGCUUGUAUGGGACGCUAUCAUGCUGCCCUGUCAGUGAAGAGCUAGGGGUGCGUAAGAAGUUGGGAGGGCACAGGACCAGGACAGCUGACCUAAACUGGAUAAAGUGCAUUAAUGGAAGUGGCAGAAUGUCUGCCUGCUGAUGUGAAGUAGUGAAUGAAAUCCUCGUUUUACUUUGCUUUUGUAUGCAACUUCUGUUUUCCCUGGGAAAUUUUCUUUAUAUCAGCCCACAAGAUAUAGUCAUCAUAGAUUCAUAGUCAUUCUUGAGUCAUUAUAGAGAUAUAAGAGUCAAGAAGUCAUCAUAGAGUAAUCAGUGAGAUGUAAUGUAGUUAAAGAUUAAUGAUGAGUCAUAAUAGAAUCACAGAGUCAUUGCUGAGUUGUCAUAGAUUCCUCGUAAUGUCAUAGUGUCAUCAUAGUGUCAUUGAUUCAUCAUAGAAUCAUAGAGUGGUCAUGGACCAUGGUCUUUUACCUUCCCCAUUCUCUCCACAUCCCAUCUGCAGAGAGCAACUUUCUUUACAAAAUGAUAAGUAAUAGGAUAGCAGAGAGAAACAGCUUUGCAGUUUGGUGGAACUUCAAACUUAUCCCACAAGAUCAUCAUUAAGAGGAAUGAGGAUUAUUGUGAAGAGUGUUAAAGUGAGCGUUCUUGGAUCCUAGAAGUCCUUCCUAGUGCAGUGACUUUUGUCUAAUAAUUUUAUAUUUGGACAGUUUGUUGGAUAGUUUGGUAAUAAACAGAUCCAUAUGCUGCAGCCACUAGCACAGUAAGUAUCAAGAGCAAAAACACAUUUUCACAUAUUUUCCUGAAGUCCCAUUCACCUUUAUACCUAAGACCAAAAAAGCAGCCACCCAGCUCUACUAAUUCCCUCAAACACAGAAGCUCUCAAAUUAGAGCCCUGGGCGCCAACUUUGCUAAAAGUUUCCUGGUGCCCCAGUUGCAAUCGGUGAUAGGCCUCCACAGGCUUCCAAGUAAAAUGUGAUCAUUUCUUGCCGAUCCUUGUGUUCUCAGCACUAUCCAAUUAACAGUGGACCCCGACUAGCUAGGAUCUCCAACAGUGAGUAUUAUUGCUAACCCAACUGGCCACCUGCUGGUAAGGUCUCCCUGUUUCCCUCUACGCUCUAACUGCUCUCAUUGUUUAUUCAUAGAGCCAAAGAUUAAAGCCAGAAAGGACCACUGUGAUCAUCUUACCUCUAAUCAGAAACCUUUCCAAUUUUUCAACUUUCUCAUUCACUUGCUGACAUUACAUGUAGAUGCAGAAUGCAGUUUACAGAGAACUUUAUUUUCCAACACACUUCAGUCUGAUUCAGGUAACCAGAUUACAUGCUCAUCUACCUUUGUAACAUUUUACAGGAUUGGUCUCUACUCUCCAGCUCAAUUUCGAGCUCUACCUCAGAUCCCAGUGGUCUAAUUUUGAAAACUCAGUUAAGAAGCAUAGAGAUCCUGGUACUAGAAUUCAGAAUAAACCUGUUCAUAAAUUGUUUGGUCUUACAUCUGCAAACUAAGAAAAACUGUCACCUUGACAUUUUCAGGCAGCUUUUGUCCUCUCUCCCCUCCUUACUGUUUUGAUUGUUUGUGUUUUUUUUUUUUCCAAUAGAACAAUGUCAUUGUUAGUGUCAAAAAUGAAAUGUAUUUCAGUGAUGUCUGGGUUUCCUAGUGAUGGGUAUCCAGACUGAGGCAAGACAUGAAGCUGAUCAGAAGCCUAAGUGCCUGCAGAACAAAAUGACAGUCCUUGAUCUUUCCCUACUGACCUAAUGGAGACAUACAUAUAACUCCAGAGGAGACUGGUGAAGAACAGUUCCAAAUGUUUCUAGAACCGUAAAACACAUGCCUAAUUUUGUUUUGUUAAACCUACCUUGAAUAACAUUCACUAUGUAGAUAGCCAGGCAUUACUGAUCUCAUUAUCACAUAUUAAAGACAUAAUUUGUUCAGAUCUGAUUUUUGUGGUCAAAGUAACUGAAUGUUAGGUAAAUCAUAGCAGUUGUUAAUGUACUAGUAUGUUUUACUGUCUGUGACAAUCUCAGGCAAAUUGAGAGUUGAGCUGAAACAAACUCAGGAGUUUUUCAAGAAAAAUUGAUCUUUACAGACUGAGUAGAAACUCAGACUGAGAUAUUUGCUGUCACAAAAAGAAAGAGAAUCACAUGUAAAAUGAAAACCAAUUAUUCAGCUGAAUUUUUUUUUUUCCCAGAGUGAUGGAACAUGAAUCCACAAAAAAUUCCUGCUACCAUUAGGAUUAAUAAUAAUAAUAAUAAUAAUAAUAAUAAUCACACAGAAUAACAGGAAAACACUUUCUAGUUCAGUAAGUGGGCAGAAGAAAUGACAGAGAUGUUUUACAAACUACAGGGAUUGGGAAGUCGUGUCUGGUAUUUUAACUCAUAGUAUAUUGGGAACACAUUUCAUCUGUAUGUUCAAGUAUGGGUCCUUUUUUGGGGGGGGAGUAGAGGCAUAAGAGUUUCCUCCUUCUUAAUCUGUGUUGUUCUCAACAAAGAGGACCCUGAAUCACAGGCAGACACACAUCAGCUAGAAUGAUGAGUCAAAUUAAGCUCUGAAAGACAAGAGAUCAGUUAAACUUGUGGCCAAACUUUCCUUCUGGAUACCUACAGGUAGGCACUUCCCCAUCUGUGUGUGUGUUCUUCUACUUGAUCUUUUUGAGCUGAAUAAACAUGGAAAACAACUGUGUAAUUCCAUUUAUCUCUAUAAUUUUUCUGGGACUGGAUGAUCAAAGUGUCUUUUGACCUGGAAUUGUUUAAUGUGGAUUUUAACUCUAGCCUUUGUCUCUGUGUGUAAUUUUCAAUUACUUGAAUUUCUCGUAUUGUCUUAUGCUUUUACAUCCAUUCCAGAUGUUCCUCAAACUUUCUUUUUUGUCCUCUUCUCAAAUGAGAGAUAAUAAUCUCUCCAUUACUACGAUAAGACUAUAAGGUUCCUAAUUCUUCCUUCAAUUUAGCAAAAUUCUGCCUCUACU